AUACGGAGGAUCCGAGCGUUAUCCGGAUUUAUUGGGUUUAAAGGGAGCGUAGGCGGGAGCUUAAGUCAGCGGUUAAAUGGUGCGGCUCAACCGUGCCCCGCCGUUGAAACUGGGUUUCUUGAGAGUGCAAGAGGCGGAUGGAAUUCAUGGUGUAGCGGUGAAAUGCUUAGAUAUCAUGAAGAACUCCGAUUGCGAAGGCAGUCCGCUGGGGCACGUCUGACGCUGAUGCUCGAAGGUGCGGGAAUCAAACAGGAUUAGAUACCCUGGUAGUCCGCACGGUAAACGAUGAUUACCCGCUGUCGGCGGCAGACAGUCGGCGGCCAAGCGAAAGCGAUAAGUAAUCCACCUGGGGAGUACGCCGGCAACGGUGAAACUCAAAGGAAUUGACGGGG
rnacentral:rRNA from 1 species